UACAGAGGUCUCAAGCGUUGUUCGGAUUCAUUGGGCGUAAAGGGUGCGUAGGCGGCGCGGUAAGUUGGAUGUGAAAUCCUGGGGCUCAACCUCAGAAUUGCAUUCAAUACUGCUUAGCUAGAGAGCUGUAGAGGAGACUGGAAUUUACGGUGUAGCAGUGAAAUGCGUAGAUAUCGUAAGGAACGCCAGUGGCGAAAGCGAGUCUCUGGGCAGCAUCUGACACUGAGGCACGAAGGCCAGGGGAGCAAACGGG
rnacentral:rRNA from 1 species